rnacentral:rRNA from 1 species
UACGGGGUGCAGCAGGCGCGAAAACUUGGCAAUGCGAGAAAUCGUGACCAGGGAACUCCAAGUGGCUGGGGUAAGACCCAGUCUUUUCUUGACUCUUAAACGGUCUUGGAAUAAGGGGUGGGUAAGGACGGUGCCAGCCGCCGCGGUAAUACCGGCGCCUCAAGUGGUAGUCGAUUUUAUUGGGCCUAAAACGUCCGUAGCCUGUUUGGUACAUUCGUGGGUAAAUCAACCAGCUUAACUGAUUGAAUUCUGCGAGCACGGCCAGACUUGGGACCGGGAGAGGUGUGGGGUACGCUCAGGGUAGGGGUAAAAUCCUGUCAUCCUGAGCGGACCACCUGUUGCGAAGGCGCCACACUAGAACGGAUCCGACGGUCAGGGACGAAGCCUAGGGGCACGAACCGGAUUAGAUACCCGGGUAGUCCUAGGUGUAAACGCUGUGGACUUGGUGUUGGGGAUUCUCCGAGGAUCCUCAGUGCCGAAGCGAAGGUGAUAAGUCCACUGCCUGGGGAGUACGGUCGCAAGGCUGAAACUUAAAGGAAUUGGCGGGGGAGCACAAUCGAAUUCCCGCGGCC